UUUGAAACUCGCUCUCUCUCCCCGGCAUCUCACCGCUACGUCGGUGCAGCCUUACUAGCCCUUAAACGGGCUUAUGCCAUUCUGCGAAUGACUAAGCAGAGCCCAGAGGGAAGUGGCAGCUUGCUUUGAUGGAGAAACAUAUUCAAGACGUAAUUUGUGAACAUCUGCUCUGUGCCAGGCACUGGGCUGAGUGCUGAGGAUUCCAUGGUGAAUAAGAAUGACCGGCUCUGUCCUUGUGCCACUAACAUCCAAGUGAGACAGAAAGGAUGAGACACCUAAGAAUCACACCCGUGCAAGCAGUGUGACUGUUACCAAAUACGGAGCUGGGCUUCGAACCGGUGGAAGGCUUCAAAUCCCAGAAGCGUCCUGUGCUCAUUUCUUUUGGGGCUGCCCCUGCCUCAUCGUGCUCAUUAUUCUGGUGCCUCCUUAGACUAUUGUCACUGAAAAAAUUCCCGUUGAACCCAGCAGGUCUUAGUAAGAUGAUUUGCUUCUCUUUAGUCAUAGGAGAUUUGGGGGCGGUUGAAAGGUUGGAAUCCCGGCUCCAAUCCUUACUAAGUGUGCAACUUUGGACAAGUCCCGUGACCUCCCUAAAUUUCAUUGUCCUCAUCUGUGGUAUGAAGUUGAGCUGAGAGCCUGAAUGGGAAUGUGCUUUGUAAACAUUAAGAAGUUCUCCAAAUGCUGGAGAUGAUGAAACAAACAAACAAACAAAUUAACAAUC